rnacentral:rRNA from 1 species
GAAUAGUGCACAAGGGAGGGAACUCUGAUGCAGCAACGCCGCGUGAGUGAAGAAGGUUUUCGGAUCGUCAAACUCUGUCAUUGGGGAAGAAUAAAUGACGGUACCCAAUGAGGAAGCCCCGGCUAACUACGUGCCAGCAGCCGCGGUAAUACGUAGGGGGCAAGCGUUGUCCGGAAUUAUUGGGCGUAAAGGGUGCGUAGGCGGCCUUUUAAGUCAGAUGUGAAAGCCCACGGCUUAACCGUGGGACUGCAUUUGAAACUGGAGGGCUUGAGUAUCGGAGAGGGUAGUGGAAUUCCCAGUGUAGCGGUGGAAUGCGUAGAUAUUGGGAGGAACACCAGUGGCGAAGGCGACUACCUGGACUGAUACUGACACUGAGGUGCGAAAGCGUGGGGAGCAAACA